AGAUUGAACGCUGGCGGCAUGCCUUACACAUGCAAGUCGAACGGUAGAGUAGCAAUACUCGAGAGUGGCGAACGGGUGAGUAAUAUAUCGGAACGUGCCCAGUCGUGGGGGAUAACGUAGAGAAAUUUACGCUAAUACCGCAUACGAUCUACGGAUGAAAGCGGGGGAUCGCAAGACCUCGCGCGAUUGGAGCGGCUGAUAUCAGAUUAGGUUGUUGGUGAGGUAAAAGCUCACCAAGCCGACGAUCUGUAGCUGGUUUGAGAGAACGACCAGCCACACUGGGACUGAGACACGGCCCAGACUCCUACGGGAGCAGCAGUGGGAAUUUUGGACAAGUGGGCGAAAGCCUGAUCCAGCAAUGCGCGUGCAGGAAGAAGGCCGUUCGGUUAGUAAACUGUACCGUUUUGUAACGGAAACGAAAGGACUCCGUUUACUAAAGUAAAGACGGACCCAUACGACGGUACCGUAAAGAAUAACGACACCGGUACUAACGUACGUCGCCAAGCGAACGCCGACGUAA
rnacentral:rRNA from 1 species